AUACUUACCUGGCAAGGGAGAUACCGUGAUCAAGAAGGCGGUUCACCCAGGGCGAGGCUCAGCCAUUGCACUCCGGCUGUGCUGACCCCUGCGAAUUUCCCAAAUGUGGAAAUCUCGAUUGCAUAAUUUAUGGUAGUGGGGGACUGCGUUCGCCCCUG
rnacentral:snRNA from 8 species